rnacentral:rRNA from 1 species
GACGAACGCUGGCGGCGUGCCUAACACAUGCAAGUCGAGCGAAUGAAGUUCCUUCGGGAAUGGAUUUAGCGGCGGACGGGUGAGUAACACGUGGGCAACCUGCCUCAUAGAGGGGGAAUAGCCUUCCGAAAGGGAGAUUAAUACCGCAUAAGAUUGUAGUAUCGCAUGAUACAGCAAUUAAAGGAGCAAUCCGCUAUGAGAUGGGCCCGCGGCGCAUUAGCUAGUUGGUGAGGUAACGGCUCACCAAGGCGACGAUGCGUAGCCGACCUGAGAGGGUGAUCGGCCACAUUGGGACUGAGACACGGCCCAGACUCCUACGGGAGGCAGCAGUGGGGAAUAUUGCACAAUGGGGGAAACCCUGAUGCAGCAACGCCGCGUGAGUGAUGACGGCCUUCGGGUUGUAAAGCUCUGUCUUCAGGGACGAUAAUGACGGUACCUGAGGAGGAAGCCACGGCUAACUACGUG